CCACAUCCUCCCCCAGAUGGGGCGUACUGGCAUCGUCGUGCUCCAUCGCCACACCGGACACACAACGGCCACGCCAUGACCAGUGAGAUCCGCGCGAGGAGGGAGAUGCAUUAGGGAGGAUUCAGGCUGCUCACCGGCGAAGCUCUCCGAUGAGCGGCCUGGCCCAGGCGAGGUGGAUUUCGUCGUGUUAUUGCCAGGAGUGGUCUUUUUGGUUCUACGAGAAUGAAAUGUCCAAGACUUCAGGUUAAGUUCAGCCGCCCUGCGAGCAAGAGCACCAUGGACCUCUACUAUGAGGGCAUGCCAGAUUCUCCACAAGCUCAGUCGCGAGUCGUACUACAUCCUCUGCAGGAACUGUAACCACUUCUACUACGUGCUCUGCCAUAAUCUCGGCAUCCCCAAGCUUCCAAGUAAGGGAAACAAUCUGAAUUAUGGCGAGGAUUGGAAUUAUGUCGCUCAUGAGGCUGUUACCUCAAACGUUGCGCCAGUUUUUUAGGUGCUUGCGCAUCACAUCUUCGAUCUGAAUUUGGGUAAGCCUGUGCUAUAUGGUAAUUAUCCCAUCAUUAUAAUGGAACGAGUAUUUAUUUUGAUUUGCCUUGUGAUCCAUAAAAAAAGGAUAUCUCAUUGUUCUCUAGAUUGUCACGGAGUGGGCUUUCAUUGUUUUAUAUGAUCUAUGUAAUCUUUAAAAAUUACAAUUUAAGGUCUUGAUAAUUGAGGUGAACAUGGUCAAGUGUUGAGCAGUUUGGGGUCAGAGAUUGAGAAUUGAGAUUUUUUUUCCAGCAAAAAGAAAACUUUGUACUAAUUACUCUUGUCUAUUUUCCACUCUGAUGCUUUAGAUGUUUAAUGAUUUCAUAGUUUUUUGUCUACAUUGUCAGUGUAUUUGCUAAUUGUCAAGUUUGUACAGGUUUUAAAAAACGUUUAAUCCCUUGCUGCGCAUAAUUUGUAUAGGCAAAAGUAGCAAUCUCAUUUGUUUGUUCUAUUGUCAGAAUGACAGAUGGUACAUGGAAGUAGUAGUGCAUGCCAUUCAGUUGGUAAUAUUGUUGUACUCUAAAGGAGUUACCUUAUUUUGUUUCAUUCUAUUCAGGUUGGUAGUGCGUGUCUUGCACAAGAUAAUUACCGUGUUGAUGGAUUAUAUAGCAGGUUCAAUGUGCAGUUUUAAAUUUCUUUUUUAUCUUGGCUUCCUACUCUUAAGAGUUUAUUUGUUCUAACAAGGUUGAAAGGAGAUACAGACAAUCUGCACAUAUCGUAGCCUAUCAGGGAUUGAUUAAUGACUAACUGAGCUUUUUCCUGGCUUUGACUUCAGAUGUUGUAGUUAACUCUAUGUACCAGGAACAUGUAGUUUGAGAUUGGUUUUAGUACUGAAUAUAUAACUUUUAAGGGAACUCUUAUAUUCACUUAGAUAUGCUAGAUGGAGAAAAUAAUAAUUAAAACAAUACUUUUUGAUGUGCUAUGGUUAUGGCUGCCCAAGAUAGGAAGGGUGAUACUUUAUUUCCUUUUUGUUUUGUUGGAAUCUAAUCUGUCUUGGAAAAUAUCUUUUGAUGUAUAUUUGUUUUACUUCUUUGUUUUUGUCUGAAUAUUGUGAAUGAGCAGCAUGAACACGGCGUCUAGAGGAGCACACAAGGCAAUGGAGUGAUGAAUGAUGCCUUCGUUUUCUAGAUGGCAAAACUAUGUAUAAAACACACUCAAAUGUAUGUGCCCCAAAAGAAUCUCACAAGGAAAAAGUAAAUGAGUAUAUGUUGAUUGGUGCUGAACAUACAAAAUUGUAACAAAAUUGUAGAUAUACGAAUGGAGCUCCCUAGAGCAACUAGCACUUGUUAUUUACCAGUUUAUAUCAGAUGCCAUCUUUAGAGGGCCACUAAAUAUACUACUUUCAGGUUUCAGCCAAUCAAAGCACUGUACCUCUUCUCUUACACAUUCUUCUUUCUAUUUACAUCCUGUUCUUAAAAUAGUGCAACGGCAGAGUAACAAGAUGAUGAUGCAUGUAGCCAUGACUGGGAGUACGGUUACAUCUACCGACCAAGUCGGCUUAUUCAUAUUCUUUGGACACUGCUGGAUUCGUCUUGGUGAUAUGUGGCUCUUAUACAAUUUUAUAUACUUGUUUCGAACUUCCAUAGGUCAUUUUUGUUUUGUAAAUAGGCUUCACCCCAGUAUUUUGGUACCACUUUGUUAGUACCAAGUAGAUUUGUCUCUUUAUCCCUGCUUGCAUCAUGAAUAAACUUUAUGAAUAAUUAACCAUACAUGAUUGUCUUCCACAUUGUUAGAAAGAC